GUUUCUUUAAGUCUUGCUAGAAAUCUCGAAGAUUUUCAGUUGUGUAUGAAAGUUCUACCAUUGUUAAUUCUAGCUUGUAUCUUAAACGACAGGAUAAAUGAGGCUAUAGAAUAUUUACUGGAAUUGAAAGAUCUUUCUGGUAAUCAUAAUUCUAGAUGUGGUCGAGCCUGGUAUUUUAUACUAGCCAUGGAACUAAUGCUUGUAUCAUGCCACCCCAUCGAACCGUUUUCCCAGUGUCAGAUGUUUGUUUCUGUGUAUCUGAGAAAUUAUGACGUUGUUCAAGAUGAGAAUAUACCACGAUUCUAUGCCGCAAUGGAUAUGGCUGUUUGGUACUGUCGACAGUGUGAUUGGAAGAAUGGUCAGAGAUGGUUUGAUUAUUGGGAGAACUACCAACCAGACCAGAAGAUACUUCCGGCUGCUUUAGGACGCCUGAAGAAAUUGGAAUGUAUGCUGAUCUCUUUAUGGAAGGCCAUAGACGCCAAUAUUGAACAUUCCGUAAAUAGAAUGGAACCCGUUAUUGGAAAGGAAAUUUCCCAGAUGAAGUCAGUCGUCAAGCAGGUGCGGGGAAUACGGCCGCGAUUUUACCAUUUGCUUGCCUAUUUUCACAUGUUAAAGGGACAGAACUCUAAAGCUAAGAAAUAUUUGAUGAUGUCGAUGACAUGUGCCGAAAAACAGGAAAAUAAACUGGACUUCAAGUGGGCCCUCAAUUCGUGGACCAAGUGGAUGAGACCCUCGUCAGUAAACUCACAAAAAUAUGACUGGAAUACAAUGGUUAAAAUUCACUCACUAGAAUGGAAACUAAUAUCUUCAAACUCAGAAAUAAUUCAUCAUUUUCCACUUCCAGGAAAAUGUUCUUUAUAGCAGGAUGUCUUUCAAUAAAUGGUUAGCAACUGUAGCCUAAUUUUACCGGGGUGGGGGUACUUUUGGUCUCCUGCAUUGGCAUUGUUGUGGUUUUUUUUGACGGGACAG